rnacentral:rRNA from 1 species
GUUUCAGCCGCCGCGGUAAUACGAAGGUGGCAAGCGUUACUCGGAAUUACUAGGCGUAAAGGGCAGGUAGGUGGUUUGGUUAGUCUGUUGUGAAAGCUCCUUGCUUAACGGGGAGAGGCCAACAGAUACUGCCAGACUUGAGUAUAGGAGAGGGUACUGGAAUUCCCGGUGUAGCGGUGAAAUGCGCAGAGAUCGGGAGGAACACCAAUGGCGAAAGCAGGUACCUGGACUAUUACUGACACUCAGCUGCGAAAGCUAGGGGAGCAAACAGGAUUAGAAACCCCUGUAGUCC